GAAGAAUGAAAUUAUGGCAUUUGCUGGAAUGGAUGUGUUAUGGAGAGGCACUCCAGGAAACACUCCACCCUUCCCUAAUGGACUUGCUCCAUCACAGGAGCAAACUGAGGGAAUGCAACAGAGAACAGCUGGUGAAGGCUCCAGGAGAUGCAAAGCAAAGUGCCCAAACCCAUAUGCCCUUUCCAGGAAGGAAGGUGGAGAAGAGAGAGGUUGCCCUGCACCACCACUUUGGCUCCUGGGAAUAUACCACACAAACCUACAAAAGAAAAGGAAGAUUUGGUUUUCAUGUUUGAUGUCAAGAAUCUCUAGUCACAUAAUUGGACCAAAAGUUCCCUCUGGAAACCAUCUCAGCCUACAUUUUACCUUACAGAAGAGGAGAGAUGUUACCAUCUGGACCUGCUAAGCUAAACACAGUCUCCCAAUUACAGAAUGUCAGGAGGAAUACAGGUCUCCCAGAUUCUGUUCCACUGUUUUUCUUACUACAGUAGUCCCCUCAUCCACAGUUUCAGUGCUCACUGGUUAAAUAAAACUUGAAUAUAUAAAUAGGAAAUUCCAGAAAUAAACAAUUCACAAGUUUUA